CACCUUACCUCCCACUUUAGUUAGUCAACGUGGCAGCAACUAGUUCUUCCGUCUCCUCUUCUCUUUUCGAACUCUUCCUCUUUUCUUGCAAUUGCUCCUGUUCCAGUUCUAGACUCGCUGCACCCACGGAGAAAAGCUUGCAACGAAAGGUCGAGAUCACAGUGGGGGCAUCACUUCAGUGCAGCGCCAGGAGUAUCGUUUGCAAAAAGAACACCAUUGAGAUGGCUACAAGUACUGGGGAGGUGGAGUUCGCUCAUGUUGCAACGGAGAUGGGAGGUCUUACGAUGAAGAAGUUGGUAACUAAUAACAAGUUCAUAGAUAAUGACAACCAGAUUAAAAUCCUCACAAUCGGCCGAGAAAAUAGUAGUGCAACUAAAAACCAUUCUUCUCAUUGGACAAUCAGGAUCCGGCAAAACUACGCUUUUAAAUGCGAUGAUCAACUACCUUAUGGGCGUUCAGUUCGAGGACAAUUUUCGAUACUCUGUGAGAGAUGAAAUUGGUGAUCGUCAGAAGAAAAUUUCGGAAAGUCAGACAGAGUUUGUAACAGGGUACCAUAUCUAUCAUAAACCUGGCAUGGUGCACAGCUAUAAUUAUCUAAUUAUUGACUCUCCCGGACUAUUAGACACAAGAGGAAAGAAAGAGCAAGCUAAAAUUUUGAA